UACCAGCACCCCGAGUGGUCGGGGCGAUUAUUGGGCCUAAAGCAUCCGUAGCCGGUCUUGCAAGUCUUCCGUUAAAUCCACCUGCUUAACAGAUGAGCUGCGGAAGAUACUACAAGACUAGGAGGCGGGAGAGGCAAGCGGUACUCAGUGGGUAGGGGUAAAAUCCUCUGAUCCAUUGAAGACCACCAGUGGCGAAGGCGGCUUGCCAGAACGCGCUCGACGGUGAGGGAUGAAAGCUGGGGGAGCAAACCGG
rnacentral:rRNA from 1 species